CUCUAGGGGGCACCAGCCCCCAUCCAGCCCCAGGGCAGCACAGAUGGCAAUUUGCCCCCCUUCUCGUGUGUGAAACGAGUUUGCUGGGUCUCAGUUAAAUUUCCAGGGCCUCCAUUCCCACCCUGCAGCCCAGAGCUGGCUGAGCCUUGGACUCUGAGACACCCCCCCAGCCCAGUCCACUAGAGGAGGGUCUCUGAGGAGAUGCAGGGGGGGCAUUGAGGGGGUGGAGCAGAUCUGGGACCUCCUGCUGGGGAUGCACCCAGGAGUCAGGCAUCAGAGGACCCCCCCCCCCCCAAAAAAAGAUGCAUCUGAAUUACUGGCUGGGCCCCACCCAGCCCACCCUCUUGAGGCAGAGCCAUGGGCAGCGGGCAGCUCCCAAAUCCCCAGCAGGGCAAAGCCCCUCUGCUCCCCCCUCCCCACCCCCCAAGGACACAGGAGAUUUGGAAGGGGCGGGGGAUGGAUCCCAGCCCUGAUUCAGCAGAACCCAGGAGUCCGGGAGCCUCUGGCUCCGGCAGAGCAGGGGUUAACACCUUGGCUGCCUCUCUCCCAGGACUGGGGGGAGGGGGGGGUCCAUGGGCUUUCCAGCCUGCGGCUCCAGCCCUGUUUACAAAGGACCUUUCCUGUUCCCAGGGUCCCUGCCCUGCCGCUGUGGGGUCAGUCACCCACCCCACCCCUGCAGAGCUGGGGGGGGGGCGUGCAGGGCUGGGCUGGACUAGCAGGGAGCUGUGGGUUGGGAGUGAGGGGCCCUGGGCUCCCCCCCUACUCUGCCAUGCCCCUCACUCCUGACCCACAGCCCCUGCUAGCCCGGCCCUGGGCUCCCCCUCUCAGUUCUGCCGGUGCCCCUCACUCCCGACCCGCAGCCCCCUGCUAGCCCAGCCCUGGGCUUCCCCCAGCCCUGCCGGUGCCCCUCACUCCCGACCCGCAGCCCCCUGCUAGCCCAGCCCUGGACUCCCCCCAGCCCUGCCGGUGCCCCUCACUCCCGACCCGCCGCCCCCUGCUAGCCCAGCCCUGGGCUCCCCCCAGCCCUGCCGGUGCCCCUCACUCCCGACCCGCAGCCCCCUGCUAGCCCAGCCCUGGGCUCCCCCAGCUCUGCCAGUGCCCCUCACUCCCGACCCGCAGCCCCCUGCUAGCCCGGCCCUGGGCUCCCCCAGCUCUGCCAGUGCCCCUCACUCCCGACCCGCCGUCCCCUGCUAGCCCAGCCCUGGGCUCCCCCCAGCCCUGCCGGUGCCCCUCACUCCUGACCCGCAGCCCCCUGCUAGCCCAGCCCUGGGCUCCCCCAGCUCUGCCAGUGCCCCUCACUCCCGACCCGCAGCCCCCUGCUAGCCCAGCCCUGGACUCCCCCCAGCCCUGCCAGUGCCCCUCACUCCCGACCCGCAGCCCCCUGCUAGCCCAGCCCUGGACUCCCCCCAGCCCUGCCGGUGCCCCUCACUCCCGACCCGCCGCCCCCUGCUAGCCCGGCCCUGGGCUCCCCCCAGCCCUGCCAGUGCCCCUCACUCCUGACCCACAGCCCCUGCUAGCCCAGCCCUGGGCUCCCCCCAGCCCUGCCAGUGCCCCUCACUCCCGACCCGCAGCCCCCUGCUAGCCCAGCACUGACGGCACCUGCUGGCUGGUAGCAACUGGGGACGCACUUGAGUGGCUGCAGUUCGGGGGCCCUCUGCUGGGCACGCAGGGCAGUGGCUGGGGCAUCUUGCCCGUGGGAUUGCCAGGGCCUGGACAGGGCAGGAGGAUCUGGGACACUGGCCCCAGGAGGCUGAAAGACCAGGCUCAGAGCAACGCUGAGCAGAUGCUAAAUCACAGGGGCCAAGGGCUAUCAAAUGGAGGGGCUGCGGGUCAGGAGUGAGGGGCACCAGCAGAGCUGGGGGGAGCCCAGGGCUGGGCUAGCAGGGGCUGCAGGUUGGGAGUGAGGGGCACCGCCAGAGCUGUGGGGGGACCCAUGGCAGGAUAGCAGGGUCAGGAUCAAGGGGAACCAGCACCACUGUGCAUGGCGCUUGCUGUUCUGGUUUAAUGGGCUGCAGCCCACCUGCCCAGCCCACAGUGGGGUGAGGGGACCCAUCGCCACCAUUGGGAGCAGCCUGUUUUGAGGCCAGCCUUAUGCUCCUGGAUUCAAAGCAGUUAUGGCCUGUGACAUCGUCCCAUCUGCACCAGGGCAGGAGAUACACGUAGCCCACAGCUCUGCAUAGCCCCUGCUUUUACCAGCCAGCUGGAGUGGUGAAUCCCAGACAGAUCUGCUAAGGCACAGACAGGACAGUUCCUCCCCCUGCCCAUUUACAUUCAACCAGUUACUCUGCAUUUGGGCCCUAGCUGGAUGCUUUGACUCAGCGCUAAAGUAAACUGGUUUAAUCUGAAUUCAUUGCCAAUGGGAAUUAAACUAAACCAAAUUAAGGUCACUUCAGUUCAGAAUAAACAUCCACAAAGAAGUUUAAUGAA